ACUGCGGCCUAUCAGUUUGUUGGUGAGGUAAUGGCCCACCAAGACUAUUACAGGUACGGGCUCUGAGAGGAGUAGCCCGGAGAUGGGUACUGAGACACGGACCCAGGCCCUAUGGGGCGCAGCAGGCGAGAAAACUUUGCAAUGUGCGAAAGCACGACAAGGUUAAUCCGAGUGGUUUCUGCUAAAGGAACCUUUUGUUAGUCAUAGAACCACUAAUGAAUAAGGGGUGGGCAAGUUCUGGUGUCAGCCGCCGCGGUAAAACCAGCACCUCAAGUGGUCAGGAUGAUUAUUGGGCCUAAAGCAUCCGUAGCCGGCUUUGUCAGUUUUCGGUUAAAUCCAUACGCUCAACGUAUGGGCUGCCGGGAAUACUACAAGGCUAGGGAGUGGGAGAGGUAGACGGUACUCGGUAGGAAGGGGUAAAAUCCUUUGAUCUAUUGAUGACCACCUGUGGCGAAGGCGGUCUACCAGAACACGUCCGACGGUGAGGGAUGAAAGCUGGGGGAGCAAACCGGAUUAGAUACCCGGGUAGUCCCAGCUGUAAACUAUGCAAACUCGGUGAUGCAUUGGCUUGAUGCCAAUGCAGUGCCGCAGGGAAGCCGUUAAGUUUGCCGCCUGGGAAGUACGUACGCAAGUAUGAAACUUAAAGGAAUUGGCGGGGGAGCACCACAAGGGGUGAAGCCUGCGGUUCAAUUGGAUUCAACGCC
rnacentral:rRNA from 1 species